AUUCCAGCUCCAAUAGCGUAUAUUAAAGUUGUUGCAGUUAAAAAGCUCGUAGUUGAAUUUCUGGUGGGAGUGUACAGUCCGACACUGAGUGUUGGUUCUUGUGUGUCUCCGGCCAUCCUUGGAGUGAAUCUGUCUGGCAUUUAGUUGUUGGGCAGAGUAUCUCCAUCGUUUACUGUGAGGAAAGGAAAGUGUUCAAAGCAGGCUUACGCCGUUGAAUCUUUUAGCAUGGAAUAAUAAGAUAGGACUUUGGUGGUCUAUUUUGUUGGUUUGCACCCCAAGGUAAUGAUUAAUAGGGACAGUUGGGGGUAUCCGUAUUUCGUAGUCAGAGGUGAAAUUCUUGGAUUUACGAAAGACGAACUACUGCGAAAGCAUUUACCAAGGAUGUUUUCAUCA
rnacentral:rRNA from 1 species